UGGGGAAUUUUGGACAAUGGGCGCAAGCCUGAUCCAGCAAUGCCGCGUGCAGGAUGAAGGCCUUCGGGUUGUAAACUGCUUUUGUACGGAACGAAAAGCUUCUGGUUAAUACCUGGGAGUCAUGACGGUACCGUAAGAAUAAGCACCGGCUAACUACGUGCCAGCAGCCGCGGUAAUACGUAGGGUGCGAGCGUUAAUCGGAAUUACUGGGCGUAAAGCGUGCGCAGGCGGUUAUGUAAGACAGAUGUGAAAUCCCCGGGCUCAACCUGGGAACUGCAUUUGUGACUGCAUGGCUAGAGUACGGUAGAGGGGGAUGGAAUUCCGCGUGUAGCAGUGAAAUGCGUAGAUAUGCGGAGGAACACCGAUGGCGAAGGCAGCCCCCUGGGUCAAGAUUGACGCUCAUGCACGAAAGCGUGGGGAGCAAACA
rnacentral:rRNA from 1 species